rnacentral:tRNA from 1 species
GCCCCCGUAGCUCAACUGGAUAGAGCGCGCCCCUCCUAAGGGCGAGGUUGCUGGUUCAAUUCCGGCCGGGGGCACCA